GACGAACGCUGGCGGCGUGCCUAAUACAUGCAAGUAGAACGCACAGUUUAUACCGUAGCUUGCUACACCAUAGACUGUGAGUUGCGAACGGGUGAGUAACGCGUAGGUAACCUGCCUGGUAGCGGGGGAUAACUAUUGGAAACGAUAGCUAAUACCGCAUAAUAUUAAUUAUUGCAUGAUAAUUAAUUGAAAGGUGCAAUUGCACCACUACCAGAUGGACCUGCGUUGUAUUAGCUAGUAGGUGAGGUAACGGCUCACCUAGGCGACGAUACAUAGCCGACCUGAGAGGGUGAUCGGCCACACUGGGACUGAGACACGGCCCAGACUCCUACGGGAGGCAGCAGUAGGGAAUCUUCGGCAAAGGACGAAAGUCUGACCGAGCAACGCCGCGUGAGUGAAGAAGGGUUUCGGAUCGUAAAGCUCUGUUGUAAGAGAAGAACGGGUGUGAGAGUGGAAAGUUCACACUGUGACGGUAUCUUACCAGAAAGGGACGGCUAACUACGUG
rnacentral:rRNA from 1 species